rnacentral:rRNA from 1 species
UACGUAGGGUGCGAGCGUUGUCCGGAAUUAUUGGGCGUAAAGGGCUCGUAGGCGGUUUGUCGCGUCGGGAGUGAAAACGCCGUGCUUAACACGGCGCUUGCUUUCGAUACGGGCAGACUAGAGGUAUUCAGGGGAGAACGGAAUUCCUGGUGUAGCGGUGAAAUGCGCAGAUAUCGGGAAGAACACCCGUGGCGAAGGCGGUUCUCUGGGACGGUACUGACGCUGAGACGCGAAAGCGUGGGGAGCGAACAGG